AUACGAGCGAAGAUUGAAUCAUCCACUAUCCUCCGCAAUCUGAAUGUUUUACCAUCAAGAUAGAUACCUCCUACAUGAUAGCAGGGCUUCCAGGCGAUAAGAUUGGUGUGAGAAUUUGGAAUGUAUGCAGCGUUCUUGAGAAUCACCUGGAACUGCUUGCCUAGACUGUUGGUCAUGAAUCUUGAUCAAUUAUUGCAGAUAUGUCACUCAGCACCAGUAUCAAAUAUCCAGGAAUCUCGGAGAUAGGGGCGUUGAUUGGAAGGAGAGCUCUCGACAUUCAUAUUUAGGCAUCUUGUCAAUCGAUCGACAGCUGUGUUGUCAGAAGUGAUUGAGGAUUGAUUAGAAUGAUCAAUAGAAUGAUCGCAUUUGACCCAGGAAUGCCUUGCUCCACAAACACAGGUCCCAGAUUGAGAUUGUCCUGCUUGUCUACCAUUUAAUGUAGCAAGAUUGGACACAACAAGUCCAGGU
rnacentral:sRNA from 1 species